rnacentral:lncRNA from 1 species
AGAGAUUUAUUAAUAAUAACUUAGAUAUUAUUUCACUUACUGAAUUAUGUUCUCUCUUUGAGACAUCAUGGGUUUUCGAAGAGAAGAGAAGAGAAGAGAAGCAACUAAAACCCACAAUUCACCAGUCCAAGAUAAAAUUCAGCAACAGCCCAAGAGGCACCAGUCACUGGGGAAUUUCCACCAGGUUGCUUUCUGGACACUCCAGGGACCAGUUUGGCUGGAAUUUCUGUUGUGUUUUGCACAGCACAUGGUGAGUGCUUCAUAUAAAUGACCUUUUGCAUCUGCAGCAUGGGGAGGCAGGGG